UACAGAGGUCUCAAGCGUUGUUCGGAUUCAUUGGGCGUAAAGGGUGUGUAGGUGGCGCGCUAAGUCGGGUGUGAAAUUUCGGAGCUUAACUCCGAAACUGCAUUCGAUACUGGCGUGCUUGAGGACUGGAGAGGAGACUGGAAUUCAUGGUGUAGCAGUGAAAUGCGUAGAGAUCAUGAGGAAGACCAGUGGCGAAGGCGGGUCUCUGGACAGUUCCUGACACUGAGGCGCGAAAGCUAGGGGAGCGAACAGG
rnacentral:rRNA from 1 species